rnacentral:rRNA from 1 species
UACGGGAGGCAGCAGUGGGGAAUAUUGCACAAUGGGCGCAAGCCUGAUGCAGCCAUGCCGCGUGUAUGAAAAAGGCCUUCGGGUUGUAAAGUACUUUCAGUCGUGAGGAAGGUGUUAAGGUUAAUAACCUUAGCAAUUGACGUUAGCGACAGAAGAAGCACCGGCUAACUCCGUGUCAGCAGCCGCGGUAAUACGGAGGGUGCGAGCGUUAAUCGGAAUUACUGGGCGUAAAGGGCACGCAGGCGGUUAAUUAAGUUGGAUGUGAAAUCCCCGGGCUUAACCUGGGAAUGGCAUUUCAAGACUGGUUAGCUAGAGUCUUGUAGAGGGGGUAGAAUUCCAUGUGUAGCGGUGAAAUGCGUAGAGAUGUGGAGGAAUACCGGUGGCGAAGGCGGCCCCUGGACAAAGACUGACGCUCAUGUGCGAAAGCGUGGGGAGCAAAACAGGGAUUAGAUAACC